rnacentral:rRNA from 1 species
GAGUUUGAUCCUGGCUCAGGAUGAACGCUGACAGAAUGCUUAACACAUGCAAGUCAACUUGAACUUCGGUUUGGGUGGCGGACGGGUGAGUAACGCGUAAAGAACUUGCCUCACAGGUAGGGACAACAUUUGGAAACGAAUGCUAAUACCUGAUAUUAUGAUUUUAGGGCAUCCUAGAAUUAUGAAAGCUAUAUGCACUGUGAGAGAGCUUUGCGUCCCAUUAGCUAGUUGGAGAGGUAACGGCUCACCAAGGCGAUGAUGGGUAGCCGGCCUGAGAGGGUGAUCGGCCACAAGGGGACUGAGACACGGCCCUUACUCCUACGGGAGGCAGCAGUGGGGAAUAUUGGACAAUGGACCAAGAGUCUGAUCCAGCAAUUCUGUGUGCACGAUGAAGUUUUUCGGAAUGUAAAGUGCUUUCAGUUGGGAAGAAAAAAAUGACGGUACCAACAGAAGAAGUGACGGCUAAAUACGUGCCAGCAGCCGCGGUAAUACGUAUGUCACGAGCGUUAUCCGGAUUUAUUGGGCGUAAAGCGCGUCUAGGUGGUUAUGUAAGUCUGAUGUGAAAAUGCAGGGCUCAACUCUGUAUUGCGUUGGAAACUGUAUAACUAGAGUACUGGAGAGGUAAGCGGAACUACAAGUGUAGAGGUGAAAUUCGUAGAUAUUUGUAGGAAUGCCGAUGGGGAAGCCAGCUUACUGGACAGAUACUGACGCUGAAGCGCGAAAGCGUGGGUAGCAAACAGGAUUAGAUACCCUGGUAGUCCACGCCGUAAACGAUGAUUACUAGGUGUUGGGGGUCGAACCUCAGCGCCCAAGCAAACGCGAUAAGUAAUCCGCCUGGGGAGUACGUACGCAAGUAUGAAACUCAAAGGAAUUGACGGGGACCCGCACAAGCGGUGGAGCAUGUGGUUUA